rnacentral:lncRNA from 1 species
CAGAGAAACACACAGUGCAGGCUGAACUCUCACAACACUGGGGCUAAGAGUGCAGAAGCAGAAGAUAGAAGCCCAAAAAGACUGAAGAAAAAGAACAUCAGAAGCAAUGGGAAUAUGGGUGGACAAGUCAGAGAGAAGGAGCACUGCUGUACCCGGUACGAGCAGGAAGGGAAUGUUAUGUUUUGUGCUAUUACAGUGCAUCCCAACAUGAUAACCAUCAUACCACGUCAGACCAAAGGUCAUUCCAGCUCAGAACCCAGUGUCUUACUGCAGCCCAGGAGAAAACAAAAGUAUGGGGAAAGCUCAUUUGCCUCAUCAGAUCAUUCCUCACUUCCCAAAGCCUGCAACGUGAGGACUUUCUGAAGGUUAUAUAUGAAGUGUCACCCUCAAAAGUACCCUGUACAAGGGUCUAUGCUCUUUGCAUAGAGAGCAUCUACUUCAUUUGAUGCUCACAACAGAGCAAAUGAUUCCUUGCUGUGCACUUCCUUCAUUCUGCUCCACAGCUUCCUCACUACCACAGUCGGUUUACAAGGGAGUGCCAGAAGAGCUCUGAUAACAGGUAGUCCUAUGACAGAGUUGCCAUAACAAUUUUAUGAUGAAGACUUACGACAGAGUACCUCAUGACAAACUCAUGUUGACAACCUUCCUCGUGGCCAUUUGUCACCCUCUAGAGGUGGCUGACAAAAGAACUGAUCAAGAAGAACUGACAAAGCCCACCAGCUGCUGUCCGCAGCCCAGCAGGAUGCCCCCAGCUCCCAGCAUAGGACCAGAGGGCCAGUUUCAGUCUCCUGGUCGCACCAUCUGCAUCAUCACAGGGCAUCAUAUUUUUCACAUACAUCACACACCAAAUACUUGAGCAACUUGAAACAUGCUGUUCCUGAAACGUCCAUGAAACAAAUUCUCUCUCUACAGCUAUACAUUUAUUUAGGGGUUAUCCAUAAAUGAAUGCAACAGUGCAAACCUGACCUUUUACCCCCUAACCAACUGAGCUCCAAUGGCUAUCAUAAAACCAUUUGGUUGUUGCCUGCUAAUCUGUGAUGAUAGAUUUAAUCUCUGUAAAAAAAAUACUGGGAAUGGGAGAAAGGUAGCCAAAUUACAAUUUUCUUUUAAUUAUUUAUUUUUACUUUAUUUUAUUAUUUAUUUAUUUUGCUAUGUACCAAUCUACCAGAGCACUGCAAACAGAGGGAGUGCUGAAAAUUUAUCUAUGUGGCUCAUCUUACACAGACCACUAAAAAUAGACCAAACUCUCCAGGAGAAGGAAACAAAAUCCUCUUUUAUCCAUUUCUUACUUGCACUGCUGUGGUUUCUGAAAGCAUGCUCCUUAUGCACAGAAGGAAAAGACGUGCGCUGGCCCCACUGCUGAGCUAAAGGCUGUGACACUGCUCAGUGCAGCACAGUUCUCCUGCCUACUGCAAGGCCACCUCAGUUUGCACCAAUCAGAUGUUUUUCUCCUAUUUCUUGCACGUAAUCUAAAGGAAGAACUUAUACAAAACCAAAGACGUCCAUGUUCCUUGCUGUCUCUUAGUCCUAAUGCAAGAAAUCGCACUGCCUCAAAGCAAAUCUCUAGUUGAAGUGGACAGACUCAGCAGAGCCUGAACCUUCUGUCCCCACAGGCCAGUUCUGGUGCUGGUCAGAGGCCAAGCCAUCCCGUCUCCUUCUCUUUCCUGGUAUUUCAUCACAACCUUUCCUCUACUAGAAGACAGCCACGCAAACGGUGCUUGGAGCCGAGUAGAACUGUGUAACACCAGCUACCUCACACACCUCUCUCUGCCUGUUUACACAAGAUAGGAGCCUGGUCCUACGGUUUCAAAAAAAAAAAGCAGUCUGCAUCUGCUCCAUUUUCAUCAUUCUGACAAGCCAGGUCAGAACACCACUGCAAACCAGGCUCACACCUUCUCUGAAAUUGCUGCAGCAGAAAUAAUGAAACACAGUUCCAGACCUCGCUUUCUCUGGAUCACCCCUCGAUAGCAGCUUCUGAAAUUCAACAGCACUACAGCUGCUUCCACCAACAAAGGUGGUGGCACAUUUCUCUUGCUUGCAGGGGCAGCAAAGGAAAAAUGCAUUACCAGUGAGGCUUGCACCUCUACUCCCCUCUACUCACCGCAUCCAAAAACACAGAACAAAAAGAAACUCUUAAACCUUCAUAUCUGAGGUCUGAAGACAAAUAUUGAGAAGGCACCAAGCAUUUUUUCUAAUUUACAACUCGGAGGAUAAUCUCUGAAUACUCUGUUUUAUAGUGUGCUUCCACCUUCUCUGGCCCAUUUCAGAUCGAAUGCCCUUCUGAUGUGACAGAUAUGUCUCUUCCUUCUGAUGGGGUGUUUUGAAGCACUGAAGUGUGUGUUUUCUCUUCAGCUCUACAGGAACAAGCUGAGCAGUUCAAUAUUUCAGUUGCAUAUACUCUGCAUUGUUAAUUUCAGGCUUGCUUUUGAAAUCCAGAAACAAAGAACAUAACUGAGAGCCUUGCAAGGACACACCCCAUCCAGUCUGUGUGCUCCAGAGCCCAUUUUGACAUGCACAGACCUUUCAGAGAUCAUUCUGACAACAGCUUCAUCUCCACUGCUAACAGUGGACUGGGCUGUGCUGAGUUGAAUUAUUAUGCUGUCUAAUGUUUCCUUUACACCAAGCAUACCAAACAUUUUUUGACAUUGUGUAUUUCUCUCAUACAGACAAUGCUUUGCAUCUCCUGAAUUUUGUCAAGCCUCUGGGUCUGCUUUCAGCAGGGAAACUGCAUGUAGGUUCAUCCCUGCCCACACAGUCCUUCUGUUCACCAAGGCCAUGUGGCUGCCAGGGAAUAUCUACCUGCUUCCAACAAAGGUCUUUUAGCAGAGGUAAAAUGUUGGUAUGCCUUUUAUAUUUGCACUAAUCAAAAUGCCACAAUAAGAAUCUCAAUUAGUAACACGAUGAAAAAGUAAUGAAGAGAAGAUCCAGUAGAUACAGAAGAUACACCUACUGCUGCCAGCUGCAGGAUACGCGCUCUCUAAUGAACCGUCGUUCGAGAUUUGCUUGGGAUGAUUAAUAAGACAUAAUGACAGAUGAUGAAUAUCUUAAGAGCAACUGCAUUCCUCCUACUUACUCUGCCAGUCUAACAGAGCUGACCUUUUCAUAAUGCCUAGUAAUUUUCAUAUUACAUCCUGAAAACAUAGCUAAAAUGAGCAUGCUGAAUUGCAAUAUGGGACCACAAGGGACACACCAAGCCAAAGAAAGGUGUUAGCAAAACAUGACAAAUUACUUAUCUGCAACUUCACAGAGCAAGGUUCAAGUCCAAUUUAAGAUUUUGAGUGAUAUAUGUUCGAUGGAUGCAGCUUAGUCACAUCAGACAGACCGGCCUGUAAUCCACUUUAUAACUGUCACACAUUAGUUUAUAAUGCUUAGGAGAGGAUUGGCAAGACAAGAAUGACACGGUAACAGAAUUACCUCUGCAACCUGCCUUACAUGCUCAGUUUAUUGAACUCAGAUCAGAAGCAGUGAGUCAGUGUACAGCACCUCGUCACAACACGGCCCCUUCAGAAACCACGUCUCACACAAUUGCACUAAAAACUUUUCUUUCCUCUUUUUUGCAUCCUGCUGGCAUUUAGAAAAGGUUGAGAAUAAACAUGGCUUGGGGAUGGAAAACUGUAUGAUUCACUCUCAGCUUGAUGGAAAAAGAAUGAGGGAGGGCAUACAUUUCACAACCCAAAAUGUUCACUUCAAAUAAAAAAAUUCAGAACUUAUUGUUUGACAAAUAUUGAAAUGAAACAUCUAUGACAUUCUGUCUUUUUGUGACAGGUUGCUUCAUGCUUUUCUUUCUUACCUGAAAUAUUAGCUGAGCCUUAUAUUAAUUUGCAAGAUAUAUCAGUUAGG